rnacentral:rRNA from 1 species
CCCCAUAAUAUCGAGGUAUUCUAUAUUAAUAUAGAAGUUUUUAUGUUAAAACUAGUAACAAGGAAGUAAAACUUCUUUUAAUUGUGAGUGUAUAUCAAAACGGAUACCCCACUGAUAUACAACGGCACUGAACCAACAGUAGCACCAUAACAAGAAAACUAUACUACAUACACCGUUAAUCUAACACAAGAACAUUGCAAGAAAGAUUUAAAGGAAAAGAAGGAACUCGGCAAAUUUUAACCUCGCCUGUUUACCAAAAACACCGCCUCUUGAUGAAUAUAAGAGGUCCCGCCUGCCCAGUGAUUAAAUUUAACGGCCGCGGUAUCCUAACCGUGCGAAGGUAGCGUAAUCACUUGUUCUUUAAAUGAGGACUAGUAUGAAUGGCACCACGAAGGUUUUACUGUCUCCUUUUCCUAAUCAGUGAAACUAAUCUUCCCGUGAAGAAGCGGGAAUAAACGAAUAAGACGAGAAGACCCUAUGGAGCUUUAAACACAAUAACAAGUACUACUUUAAACAAAAAUUUCUUAAUGACUUACUACCUGGUAUCAUGAUUAUUAGUUUUAGGUUGGGGUGACCGCGGAGAAAAACAUAACCUCCACAUUGAAUGAUAAAAUUCUAAGCAAAGAACUACAUUUCUAUGCAUCAAUAUAUUGACAUCAAUUGACCCAAUUAUUUUGAUCAACGAACCAAGUUACCCUAGGGAUAACAGCGCAAUCUACUUCAAGAGCCCAUAUCGACAAGUGGGUUUACGACCUCGAUGUUGGAUCAGGGUACCCCAGUGGUGCAGCCGCUACUAAAGGUUCGUUUGUUCAACGAUCAAAACCCUA